AACGAACGCUGGCGGCAGGCUUAACACAUGCAAGUCGAACGCCCGUAGCAAUACGGGAGUGGCGGACGGGUGAGUAACGCGUGGAUAACGUGCCCUAGGGUUGAGGAUAACCCACCGAAAGGUGAGCUAAUACUGAAUGUGUUUCUUCGAGGUGCGCCUUGAAGAAAGAAAGCGGGGUAACCCGCGCCCAAGGAUCGGUCCGCGUACCAUCAGUUUGUUGGUGGGGUAAUGGCCUACCAAGACUACGACGGUUAGCUGGUCUGAGAGGAUGAUCAGCCACACUGGGACUGAGACACGGCCCAGACUCCUACGGGAGGCAGCAGUGGGGAAUAUUGGACAAUGGGCGAAAGCCUGAUCCAGCCAUGCCGCGUGAGUGAUGAAGGCCUUAGGGUUGUAAAGCUCUUUCAGUAGGGAAGAUAAUGACGGUACCUACAGAAGAAGCCCCGGCUAACUUCGUG
rnacentral:rRNA from 1 species